rnacentral:rRNA from 1 species
CCGGCGCACGGGUGAGUAACACGUAUCCAACCUGCCGUCUACUCUUGGACAGCCUUCUGAAAGGAAGAUUAAUACAAGAUGGCAUCAUGAGUCCGCAUGUUCACAUGAUUAAAGGUAUUCCGGUAGACGAUGGGGACGCGUUCCAUUAGAUAGUAGGCGGGGUAACGGCCCACCUAGUCUUCGAUGGAUAGGGGUUCUGAGAGGAAGGUCCCCCACAUUGGAACUGAGACACGGUCCAA